rnacentral:rRNA from 1 species
AGUGAACGCUGGCGGUAGGCCUAACACAUGCAAGUCGAACGGCCGCACAGUAAGAGCUUGCUCUCACGGGAGGCGCGUGGCGGAAGGGUGCGGUAUACUUCGGAUUCUACUUUUUCGUGGGUGAUAACGUCGGGUAACUUCCGCUAGUGCAGCAUACGACCUCCGUGUGACAGCAGGCGAUCUUCGGACUUUGUGCGAGUGAUUGUGCCGCUGUUGGAUUAGCUAGUUGGCGGGGUAAAGGCGCAGCAAGGCGACGAUCCGUAGCUGGUCUGAGCGGAUGAUCAGCCACACUGGAACUGAGACACGGUCCAGACUCCUACAGGAGGCAGCAGUGGGGAAUAUUACGCAAGGGGCGCAAGCCUGAUCCAGCCAUACCGCGUGAGUGAAGAAGGCGUUAUGGUUGGAAAACCCUGUUGUUGGGAAAGAAGAGCAGCUGUUUAAUACCCCACUGUACUGACGGUACCCAAAGAAGAAGCACCGGCUAACUUCGUG